rnacentral:tRNA from 1 species
GAGGGUAUAGUUCAGUGGUAGAGAGCAUGUGCUUAGCAUGCAUGAGGUCCUAGGUUCAAUCCCCAGUACCUGUA